GUGGGGAAUAUUGGACAAUGGGCGAAAGCCUGAUCCAGCAAUGCCGCGUGAGUGAUGAAGGCCUUAGGGUUGUAAAGCUCUUUUACCCGGGAUGAUAAUGACAGUACCGGGAGAAUAAGCUCCGGCUAACUCCGUGCCAGCAGCCGCGGUAAUACGGAGGGAGCUAGCGUUGUUCGGAAUUACUGGGCGUAAAGCGCACGUAGGCGGCUUUGUAAGUUAGAGGUGAAAGCCUGUAGCUUAACUCCAGAACUGCCUUUAAGACUGCAUCGCUUGAAUCCAGGAGAGGUGAGUGGAAUUCCGAGUGUAGAGGUGAAAUUCGUAGAUAUUCGGAAGAACACCAGUGGCGAAGGCGGCUCACUGGACUGGUAUUGACGCUGAGGUGCGAAAGCGUGGGGAGCAAACAGGAUUAGAUACCCGUGUAGUCC
rnacentral:rRNA from 1 species